ensembl:snRNA U6 U6 spliceosomal RNA
GUUUUAAAAAAGAUACAGGGAAAAUUAGCCCGGCCCCUGCACAAGGACGACAAAUGUGGAGCAUUUGAUAUUCCAUAAAGUUUU